UACAGAGGUGGCAAGCGUUGUUCGGAAUUACUGGGCGUAAAGGGCGCGUAGGCGGCCCUCUAAGUCAGACGUGAAAUCCCUCGGCUCAACCGGGGAACUGCGUCUGAGACUGGAAGGCUUGAAUUCGGGAGAGGGAUGUGGAAUUCCAGGUGUAGCGGUGAAAUGCGUAGAUAUCUGGAGGAACACCGGUGGCGAAGGCGGCAUCCUGGACCGAGAUUGACGCUGAUGCGCGAAAGCCAGGGGAGCAAACGGG
rnacentral:rRNA from 1 species